GAUGAACGCUGGCGGCGUGCCUAAUACAUGCAAGUCGAGCGAACAGACGAGGAGCUUGCUCCUCUGACGUUAGCGGCGGACGGGUGAGUAACACGUGGAUAACCUACCUAUAAGACUGGGAUAACUUCGGGAAACCGGAGCUAAUACCGGAUAAUAUAUUGAACCGCAUGGUUCAAUAGUGAAAGACGGUUUUGCUUUCACUUAUAGAUGGAUCCGCGCCGCAUUAGCUAGUUGGUAAGGUAACGGCUUACCAAGGCAACGAUGCGUAGCCGACCUGAGAGGGUGAUCGGACACACUGGAACUGAGACACGGUCCAGACUCCUACGGGAGGCAGCAGUAGGGAAUCUUCCGCAAUGGGCGAAAGCAUGACGGAGCAACGCCGCGUGAGUGAUGAAGGUAUUCGGAUCGUAAAACUCUGUUAUUAGGGAAGAACAAAUGUGUAAGUAACUAUGCACGUCUUGACGGUACCUAAUCAGAAAGCCACGGCUAACUACGUG
rnacentral:rRNA from 1 species